rnacentral:misc_RNA from 1 species
UUUUUUUUUUUUUUUUUUAAGCACAUGGCAAUCCAAUGAACCUUCUCAUGAUCAAAAUGCCAAAAAGGCAAUUCCAAGAAUCAGUGCUUAUAAUGCACAAUUGAUAUAAUAUGAAUUUGAAAAGUCUACUAGGUGAACCAGCCCCAAACUAGUAUCAGAUAAAUGGUAGAUGUGCAAAGUGCACAUUGUAUUCAUCCAGACAUAAACAUCAUAAGUGAACGUGAUGCAAUAUUGAAAGAAGACUCAACUUAGGAAUUAUAUUCAUUAUACAAUUAGAAAGUUUAUAUUUCUAUAAUUUAGAAAUUUUACUAUUAUUUAGGAAUAUUUAUAGA